rnacentral:rRNA from 1 species
CCUACGGGAGGCAGCAGUGAGGAAUAUUGGUCAAUGGCCGCGAGCCUGAACCAGCCAAGUCGCGUGAGGGAUGACGGCCCUACGGAUUGUAAACCUCUUUUAUCAGGGAAUAAAGCGUGGCACGUGUCCUUCUUUGUAUGUACCCUAUGAAUAAGCAUCGGCUAACUCCGUGCCAGCAGCCGCGGUAAUACGGAGGAUCCGAGCGUUAUCCGGAUUUAUUGGGUUUAAAGGGUGCGGAGGCGGCCGUUGAAGUCAGCGGUGAAAGUUUGUGGCUCAACCAUAGAAUUGCCGUUGAAACUGGAGGGCUUGAGUGCGUUUGAAGCAGGCGGAAUGCGUGGUGUAGCGGUGAAAUGCUUAGAUAUCACGCAGAACCCCGAUUGCGAAGGCAGCCUGCCAGGGCGUGACUGACGCUGAUGCACGAAAGCGUGGGUAUCGAACAGGAUUAGAUACCCUGGUAGUC